rnacentral:rRNA from 1 species
UGGGGAAUUUUGGACAAUGGGGGAAACCCUGAUCCAGCCAUCCCGCGUGUGCGAUGAAGGCCUUCGGGUUGUAAAGCACUUUUGGCAGGAAAGAAACGUCGCGGGUUAAUACCCCGCGAAACUGACGGUACCUGCAGAAUAAGCACCGGCUAACUACGUGCCAGCAGCCGCGGUAAUACGUAGGGUGCAAGCGUUAAUCGGAAUUACUGGGCGUAAAGCGUGCGCAGGCGGUUCGGAAAGAAAGAUGUGAAAUCCCAGAGCUUAACUUUGGAACUGCAUUUUUAACUACCGGGCUAGAGUGUGUCAGAGGGAGGUGGAAUUCCGCGUGUAGCAGUGAAAUGCGUAGAUAUGCGGAGGAACACCGAUGGCGAAGGCAGCCUCCUGGGAUAACACUGACGCUCAUGCACGAAAGCGUGGGGAGCAAACAGGAUUAGAUACCCUGGUAGUCCACGCCCUAAACGAUGUCAACUAGCUGUUGGGGCCUUCGGGCCUUGGUAGCGCAGCUAACGCGUGAAGUUGACCGCCUGGGGAGUACGGUCGCAAGAUUAAAACUCAAAUGAAUUGACGGGGUCAUAGCUGUUUCC